rnacentral:rRNA from 1 species
UGGCUCAGAUUGAACGCUGGCGGCAGGCUUAACACAUGCAAGUCGAGCGGAGAGAGGUAGCUUGCUACUGAUCUUAGCGGCGGACGGGUGAGUAAUGCUUAGGAAUCUGCCUAUUAGUGGGGGACCAACAUUUCGAAAGGAAUGCUAAUACCGCAUACGUCCUUACGGGAGAAAGCAGGGGAUCUUCGGACCCUUGCGCUAAUAGAUGAGCCUAAGUCGGAUUAGCUAGUUGGUGGGGUAAAGGCCUACCAAGGCGACGAUCUGUAGCGGGUCUGAGAGGAUGAUCCGCCACACUGGGACUGAGACACGGCCCAGACUCCUACGGGAGGCAGCAGUGGGGAAUAUUGGACAAUGGGUGCAAGCCUGAUCCAGCCAUGCCGCGUGUGUGAAGAAGCCCUUAUGGUUGUAAAGCACUUUAAGCGAGGAGGAGGCUACUUUAGUUAAUACCUAGAGAUAGUGGACGUUACUCGCAGAAUAAGCACCGGCUAACUCUGUGCCAGCAGCCGCGGUAAUACAGAGGGUGCAAGCGUUAAUCGGAUUUACUGGGCGUAAAGCGCGCGUAGGCGGCUAAUUAAGUCAAAUGUGAAAUCCCCGAGCUUAACUUGGGAAUUGCAUUCGAUACUGGUUAGCUAGAGUGUGGGAGAGGAUGGUAGAAUUCCAGGUGUAGCGGUGAAAUGCGUAGAGAUCUGGAGGAAUACCGAUGGCGAAGGCAGCCAUCUGGCCUAACACUGACGCUGAGGUGCGAAAGCAUGGGGAGCAAACAGGAUUAGAUACCCUGGUAGUCCAUGCCGUAAACGAUGUCUACUAGCCGUUGGGGCCUUUGAGGCUUUAGUGGCGCAGCUAACGCGAUAAGUAGACCGCCUGGGGAGUACGGUCGCAAGACUAAAACUCAAAUGAAUUGACGGGGGCCCGCACAAGCGGUGGAGCAUGUGGUUUAAUUCGAUGCAACGCGAAGAACCUUACCUGGCCUUGACAUAGUAAGAACUUUCCAGAGAUGGAUUGGUGCCUUCGGGAACUUACAUAACAGGUGCUGCAUGGCUGUUCGUGAACUCGUGUCGUGAGAUGUUGGGUUAAGUCCCGCAACGAGCGCAACCCUUUUCCUUAUUUGCCAGCGAGUAAUGUCGGGAACUUUAAGGAUACUGCCAGUGACAAACUGGAGGAAGGCGGGGACGACGUCAAGUCAUCAUGGCCCUUACGGCCAGGGCUACACACGUGCUACAAUGGUCGGUACAAAGGGUUGCUACCUAGCGAUAGGAUGCUAAUCUCAAAAAGCCGAUCGUAGUCCGGAUUGGAGUCUGCAACUCGACUCCAUGAAGUCGGAAUCGCUAGUAAUCGCGGAUCAGAAUGCCGCGGUGAAUACGUUCCCGGGCCUUGUACACACCGCCCGUCACACCAUGGGAGUUUGUUGCACCAGAAGUAGCUAGCCUAACUGCAAAGAGGGCGGUUACCCGGUGUGGCCGAUGACUGG